rnacentral:rRNA from 1 species
ACGAACGCUGGCGGCGUGCCUAAUACAUGCAAGUAGAACGCUGAAGAGAGGAGCUUGCUCUUCUUGGAUGAGUUGCGAACGGGUGAGUAACGCGUAGGUAACCUGCCUUGUAGCGGGGGAUAACUAUUGGAAACGAUAGCUAAUACCGCAUAACAAUGGAUGACCCAUGUCAUUUAUUUGAAAGGGGCAAAUGCUCCACUACAAGAUGGACCUGCGUUGUAUUAGCUAGUAGGUGAGGUAACGGCUCACCUAGGCGACGAUACAUAGCCGACCUGAGAGGGUGAUCGGCCACACUGGGACUGAGACACGGCCCAGACUCCUACGGGAGGCAGCAGUAGGGAAUCUUCGGCAAUGGGGGCAACCCUGACCGAGCAACGCCGCGUGAGUGAAGAAGGUUUUCGGAUCGUAAAGCUCUGUUGUAAGUCAAGAACGAGUGUGAGAGUGGAAAGUUCACACUGUGACGGUAGCUUACCAGAAAGGGACGGCUAACUACGUGCCAGCAGCCGCGGUAAUACGUAGGUCCCGAGCGUUGUCCGGAUUUAUUGGGCGUAAAGCGAGCGCAGGCGGUUUGAUAAGUCUGAAGUUAAAGGCUGUGGCUCAACCAUAGUUCGCUUUGGAAACUGUCAAACUUGAGUGCAGAAGGGGAGAGUGGAAUUCCAUGUGUAGCGGUGAAAUGCGUAGAUAUAUGGAGGAACACCGGUGGCGAAAGCGGCUCUCUGGUCUGUAACUGACGCUGAGGCUCGAAAGCGUGGGGAGCGAACAGGAUUAGAUACCCUGGUAGUCCACGCCGUAAACGAUGAGUGCUAGGUGUUGGAUCCUUUCCGGGAUUCAGUGCCGCAGCUAACGCAUUAAGCACUCCGCCUGGGGAGUACGACCGCAAGGUUGAAACUCAAAGGAAUUGACGGGGGCCCGCACAAGCGGUGGAGCAUGUGGUUUAAUUCGAAGCAACGCGAAGAACCUUACCAGGUCUUGACAUCCGAUGCAUAGCGCAGAGAUGCGUGAAGUCCUUCGGGACAUCGAGACAGGUGGUGCAUGGUUGUCGUCAGCUCGUGUCGUGAGAUGUUGGGUUAAGUCCCGCAACGAGCGCAACCCUUAUGGUCAGUUACUACGCAAGAGGACUCUGGCCAGACUGCCGUUGACAAAACGGAGGAAGGUGGGGAUGACGUCAAAUCAUCAUGCCCCUUAUGACCUGGGCUACACACGUGCUACAAUGGUUGGUACAACGAGUUGCGAGUCGGUGACGGCAAGCUAAUCUCUUAAAGCCAAUCUCAGUUCGGAUUGUAGGCUGCAACUCGCCUACAUGAAGUCGGAAUCGCUAGUAAUCGCGGAUCAGCACGCCGCGGUGAAUACGUUCCCGGGCCUUGUACACACCGCCCGUCACACCACGAGAGUUUGUAACACCCGAAGUCGGUGAGGUAACCUUUUGGAGCCAGCCGCCUAAGGUGGGAUAGAUGAUUGGGGUG